UAUUUAUUUAGUAUAUGCAUAAGUAUACUAAGCUUCCAACUUAAAGGACUAAAUAAGAAUAAAUAA
rnacentral:tRNA from 1 species